CUCUCCAUUCCAAUCAGCAGCUGUCAGCCUGGGCCCGGGUGGAUAUUAAUGACGGCCACUAACUGCCUCGCAAAUUCUCCACACUAUUUGGGAGCUGGCAUGAAAUAGGGUUGUGCUUUCUCAGUGCGCUGCGGUAGACUAAUGGAAAGAGCUCGGAUAUCUCACUGCACCAGAGACGCAAGCUCCGAAUACACCAGCCAACCACGGCCUCUUUCUGAAGGAUUAGCAGGCUGAGGUCUCUCUUUAGUGGCUAUUUACAGAUAGUGUGACCAUUCGUGCCAUUUUCCCCAGACCAGGAUUUCGGGUGUCCUCCGGAAGUCGCAUAUGUCGACCGCAUACGUCAUCAAGGCCUGUGAUUUUUGGUGGGCUGCCAUGCAAGAAAGGCAUUUUCGAACACAAAGGAACCUUUCGUCUGCCACAGAGAGCUAGUUAUUACCGUCUCAGGAUGGGGACCGUUUGAGAGGGAUCUGAGAAGUGGCCAAAGCUAACCAGUUAACCAGGAUGGAAAGUACUGUAAACAUCAGAGACUCACAGCCAAAGCCAGGAUGGCUAUUAGUGUAUGUGGGUAAAUUAGAGAUCUAAAAUAGCACCCAUACACAGACCAAACAAGGGAAAGUAUGAUACA